GAUGAACGCUGGCGGCGUGCCUAAUACAUGCAAGUCGAGCGAAUGGAUUAAGAGCUUGCUCUUAUGAAGUUAGCGGCGGACGGGUGAGUAACACGUGGGUAACCUGCCCAUAAGACUGGGAUAACUCCGGGAAACCGGGGCUAAUACCGGAUAACAUUUUGAACCGCAUGGUUCGAAAUUGAAAGGCGGCUUCGGCUGUCACUUAUGGAUGGACCCGCGUCGCAUUAGCUAGUUGGUGAGGUAACGGCUCACCAAGGCAACGAUGCGUAGCCGACCUGAGAGGGUGAUCGGCCACACUGGGACUGAGACACGGCCCAGACUCCUACGGGAGGCAGCAGUAGGGAAACUUCCGCAAUGGACGAAAGUCUGACGGAGCAACGCCGCGUGAGUGAUGAAGGCUUUCGGGUCGUAAAACUCUGUUGUUAGGGAAGAACAAGUGCUAGUUGAAUAAGCUGGCACCUUGACGGUACCUAACCAGAAAGCCACGGCUAGCUACGUGCCAGCCGCCGCGGUAA
rnacentral:rRNA from 1 species